rnacentral:lncRNA from 1 species
CACAUGCUUGCAUUAUUAAAAAAUAGUGCUCAACAUAUAUAACAAAUUAUAAAUCAAUAGGGAUAGUUCUGAAAAGUCUUAACCAAGUCAAAUUCAGUUCAUGUAGAAGAGGGACGAAAGAUACCAGAGGGACAGUCAAACUCAUAAAUCGAAAAUAAACGGACAACGCCAUGGCUAAAAAUUAAGAAGACAAACACAAUUACACAUGACACAACAUAGUAAACUAAAGAAUAAGCAACACGAAACCAACCAAAAACUAGGGGUGAUCUCAGUUGCUCCGGAAGGGUAAGCAGAUCCUUCUCCACUUGGCACCCAUCGUGUUGCUUAUGUGAUAACAAAUACGG